CUCCAAGAUCUUGUACAGGUCGGUCGAUCGGUCGGUCGGUCGUUAGUGGGCAGUUCAGCAGCAGGUCCAGCAGCGAAGGCGGCCAUGUGUGUGUGUGUGUGUCACGGCUGAACCCGGAGCGAGGCUAGGGGCGCCACUAAAAGAGCCUGAUCUCAUAAGGAAGGAGGGUGCUGAUAAGAGGGCCGCUGCAGUGGCGCCACUGCAGGCCAUUCGGCCAGUGGCGGGGGCUGCCCGGCACUGGGGUAGUGUGGGGAGUGGAGUGCGCGUGGUGGGUUCGUUUAGGGCGUGCAAGGACGCACACACCAUAGAGCGUCUUCGUCGGUUCUCUUCACUCCUCCCCUGAUUUUUAUUAGUGCCGCGCGCGGCGCCUAUUAGGAAAAGGCCCGUCGGUCGGCGCUUUAAAGGGCUAUUCUCGUCGGCGCCCGCCGCGAAGGCGCAAACCAAGCGGUGUGAACGAACGUCUAAUCGGCGACGCCGAAGGGGAAGAGCUGGUUGAGGUUUUAGGCGCCGCACGCAUGGCCGGCAAGGCAAGGUCGAAGAACACGGACAACACCGUUCUUCUUUAGGCGCGACAAACCCCGGAGCAAACUCGUCCUCAUAGGAGCGAAAAAGGACAACCCUCAAGGACGAACGACGAGACGGGAAAGCAGCCCAAAGAACCUUCUCUAAGUACGAAGGAAGCACUGUAGAACAGUAGAAAAAACGAACUAAACGUACCAAAAGAACCCAAGAACGGCCUCCUAAACGGGGAAAAUCUCGAGCCUAAGGAGGCGUUCUAGGUGGUGAAGGCGUUAGUAAACUCGAGCACGCCAAGUUAGCACCCUCGUACCCUGUUUUCGAAGAAGGCAGGAACCCCUGUUUCCGAACACGAGCCUAAACUGUGGUACGGUUCGUAGUAGUUCAUCUGCGCUCGCUCGAAGAUCUUGGAAGACGAUCGAAGGAGGACGGGUGAGGGGCAGGUGCGCUGUAUGUAUGUACCUCUGCAGCUGGCAGUGGAUGAGGAGGAGGAGCGGCGGGGGAAGGAGGAGCGGCGGCGUCGUCCGGCUCGUCCGGCGGCUGGAGCUGCGGCAGUCGGAGCCGGCGGAGUCGCGGUUGGAGCUCGCGGAGGAGCUGGGCCGGAAGGAGUCGACGCGCCUGCGGCUGCACCAGGAGCGCCUGCUGCGGCCGCAGCAGCCGCAGGUGGCGACGUAGGAGCGGCGAUCCUCGCCGAAGAAGGAGCUGGUGAAGAGGUUAUCCGAGCGGUUGGGGCGGCGGCCGCUCUUCCUCUUCCUCUUCCUCUCCGGCGCCGACCUCGAGCGCCUCGACCAGGGCCCGCCCGCGGUGUAGCCGGCGCUGCGGGAGCAGCGGCAGGAACCCAUGGAGAUGUGGCCGGCGGAGUUCGGCGGCGGCGCCCUGAGGCGCCACACGCACCUGCUCGCCACGGGCGUGCUCCGGACGGCGGGCCGCUACCUGAAGCACCACCUCAGGUGGAUGCGGCGGAGGCCGAAGGUCUAGAGGCUCGAGCAGAGCGAGAAGGUCGCAGCAGACAGGCUGAAACAUUUGUAUCGAGACCACCUCCUGUAUCACGGGUAGCAAGUGCAACGCAGGUGGACGGUCGAGGUACUCGACGAGUCGGUCACGUAAGUUUCCUAACGUCCUAGCUUACAGCUGUCGGCCAUGGAGCUCUUCCUCGAAGGUCUGCUCCGUAAACGGUUCCAGUUCCUCAAGGCCGCUAUGAGCGACGUGCUGCUAAGCCUGCUCAAGUAGGACCUGGGACUCGUGCGGUUCUUCCAGUCCUUGUAGGUGUUCCGGGACCUGACACUGCUGCAGCUGGACCAGCCGGACGAGGACGUUCUCAGACGCUAGUGGAACCUGCUACGUAACCGGUAUGUGAUACGGCGGCGGAUAACGCUCGGGUUUCACGAUCGAAACGAGAACUUCGACCUGGGACGGCCACUGACGCAUUUGCAGUUGGACUUCUUACUGUCACCCAUGUGUGGUAACGUAAACCGAACGUACUCCGCCCUCGGCGUCUAGGAAGAGAGCGAAUAGCUCUUCCCGCGCAGGCACCACCUCUCCUGCGUGCUACCCGCGCUGCGCGAAUGGUAGACGUUCUCUGACUGUUGUCUCUUUCUGACGUUGUUCUUCGAACUCUUUACGUUCCUCUCUUCGUUCCGAAUGAACACGUAACUGUAGGAACUCGUCCUCUAGUUCUCCUUUAGGAAGUAGAAGCUCCUCGAGGAAAGCCGUCUCCAAAGCCAGCGGUGUGGAAACGACCAACUGUUAAAGGUGUACUCCGAGUAUUUGAACCUUUUGUCUCAACGGAAACGUUCUUAUAAGAAGGGAAGACUUCGGUUCGAACAGUACGCAUAUCGUGUUCGUCUAAGUUGGCUUCUCAAACGGCCAGAGUGCAGUCGAUUAAAGUCAUUUGACUUCCUCCAACUGGAUUUACUCUGGGGAUGUUACGUCUUGUCCUCUGACGCCCUUGCGGAACUACGGAACUGUUUCUGUCAACUCGAUCCCGCUUUCAUGAAGGGCGUAACAAGCCUACAAGAGCUGUUCAAGGAGUACCUUCUUAGGUGGCUAGACGUGAAGGAACUUUCGCCGUCACGACUCCUGGUCAUGUGGUCCUCCUGCGCGAAGAGACUCGAGUUUCUCCUACACUCCUUCCGGAAGUCGUUUCUGUUCCGGCAACGUCGGUAUCGGAGUAGCUGCAGGAGCAGAAGCGGCUCCCCACUACCUUUCCAAUCAUCUGUACCAGUGUUCUUCCGCUCCGACAGCGCCACUAUACAUACGAGCUACAGCGGUUCAGCCAUCCAAUUGCUGCCUAGGCAGCUCGCGUCCGCGCACUACCGAAGCCUCUCCACCCCACCCCCCUUCGAUCGUUCCAAAACAACUGUCAAACAUCACGUCACUUUGGUACAUACAUCUACAUACAUUGGUUCGUUCGUAUAGCCAAGAUCAAACAAACAACGAACCACGUAAAGAACAUCAAAUGACACCAAACUGUACACUGUCCGAAGUCAUCUACUAAAAAUUAGCGGCCACUGGCGAGAAGUGUCAGUAACAUAGGUAGAACGUACGAGUCCGGAGAACCAUCCUAGUUUGACUAAAACUUCCAAGCAAACUUCCAAGUCC
rnacentral:rRNA from 1 species